rnacentral:rRNA from 1 species
UCUUCCGUAGGGUGACCUGCGGAAGGAUCAUUA